rnacentral:lncRNA from 1 species
CAGCCUGGCUGUUCUCUUAGCCUCUUUUGCAAAGCAUCAAGAUUCACCUUCACUGACUACAGCAUAAAUUGAGCCCAGAUGGCUGGGGGACAGAGGCUGGAGUGGGUGGUAACAGUGAUUGAUUCAAGUGGAAGUUCUCAGUGAUAUUCUGCAUCAGCAUAAUGAAGAUUCACAAUUCCCAGGGACACCAAUUACCAGCACAGUCUCCCUUAAAAUAAUCUACUUGGAAGCU